UGGGGAAUUUUGGACAAUGGGGGAAACCCUGAUCCAGCCAUCCCGCGUGUGCGAUGAAGGCCUUCGGGUUGUAAAGCACUUUUGGCAGGAAAGAAACGUCGCGGGUUAAUACCCCGCGAAACUGACGGUACCUGCAGAAUAAGCACCGGCUAACUACGUGCCAGCAGCCGCGGUAAUACGUAGGGUGCAAGCGUUAAUCGGAAUUACUGGGCGUAAAGCGUGCGCAGGCGGUUCGGAAAGAAAGAUGUGAAAUCCCAGAGCUUAACUUUGGAACUGCAUUUUUAACUACCGGGCUAGAGUGUGUCAGAGGGAGGUGGAAUUCCGCGUGUAGCAGUGAAAUGCGUAGAUAUGCGGAGGAACACCGAUGGCGAAGGCAGCCUCCUGGGAUAACACUGACGCUCUGCANGAAAGCGUGGGGAGACAAAACAGGAUUGAGCAUACCCUGGUAGUCCACGCCCUAAACGAUGUCAACUAGCUGUUGGGGCCUUCGGGCCUUGGUAGCGCAGCUAACGCGUGAAGUUGACCGCCUGGGGAGUACGGUCGCAAGAUUAAAAA
rnacentral:rRNA from 1 species